GACGAACGCUGGCGGCGUGCUUAACACAUGCAAGUCGAACGGAAAGGCCCUGCUUUUGUGGUGUGCUCGAGUGGCGAACGGGUGAGUAACACGUGAGUAACCUGCCCUUGACUUUGGGAUAACUUCAGGAAACUGGGGCUAAUACCGGAUAGGAGCUCCUGCUGCAUGGUGGGGGUUGGAAAGUUUCGGCGGUGGGGGAUGGACUCGCGGCUUAUCAGCUUGUUGGUGGGGUAGUGGCUUACCAAGGCUUUGACGGGUAGCCGGCCUGAGAGGGUGACCGGCCACCUUGGGACUGAGAGACGGCACAGACUGCUACGGGAGGCAGCAGUGGGGAAUACUGAACAAUGGGCGGCAGCCUGAUGCAGCAACGCCGCGUGCGGGAUGACGGCCUUCGGGUUGUAAACCGCUUUCGCAUGUGACGAAGCGUGAGUGACGGUAAUGGGUAAAGAAGCACCGGCUAACUACGUG
rnacentral:rRNA from 1 species